rnacentral:rRNA from 1 species
UGAACGCUAGCGACAGGCCUAACACAUGCAAGCCGAGGGGCAGCAUAAAGGUAGCAAUACUUUGGUGGCGACCGGCGCACGGGUGAGUAACACGUAUGCAACCUGCCUGUAAGCGGGGAAUAACCCGGAGAAAUUCGGACUAAUACCGCAUAACACUUCAAAACUGCAUGGUUUUGAAGUUAAACAUUUAUGGCUUACAGAUGGACAUGCGUAUGAUUAGUUAGUUGGUGAGGUAACGGCUCACCAAGGCGACGAUCAUUAGGGGUUCUGAGAGGAAGGUCCCCCACAUUGGAACUGAGACACGGUCCAAACUCCUACGGGAGGCAGCAGUGAGGAAUAUUGGUCAAUGGGCGCGAGCCUGAACCAGCCAAGUCGCGUGAAGGAAGACGGCCUUAUGGGUUGUAAACUGCUUUUGUCAGGGAAUAAACCCCACGAUGCGUCGUGGGCUGAAGGUACCUGAAGAAUAAGCACCGGCUAACUCCGUGCCAGCAGCCGCGGUAAUACGGAGGGUGCAAGCGUUAUCCGGAUUCAUUGGGUUUAAAGGGUGCGCAGGCGGGUUUGUCAGUCAGUGGUGAAAUCCUACGGCUUAACCGUGGAACUGCCAUUGAUACUGCAAGUCUUGAGUAUAGUUGAAGUGGGCGGAAUGUAGCAUGUAGCGGUGAAAUGCAUAGAUAUGCUACAGAACACCAAUUGCGAAGGCAGCUCACUAAGUUAUAACUGACGCUCAUGCACGAAAGCGUGGGGAUCAAACAGGAUUAGAUACCCUGGUAGUCCACGCUGUAAACGAUGAUCACUCGUUGUUGGCGAUACACAGUCAGCGACCAAGCGAAAGUGAUAAGU